AACACCCGGUCCCAUCCCGAACCCGGAAGUUAAGCCUUUCAGCGCCGAUGGUACUGCAGCCGAGAGGCUGUGGGAGAGUAGGACGCCGCCGGAC
rnacentral:rRNA from 1 species